rnacentral:rRNA from 1 species
GUAGUUUGAUCCUGGCUCAGGAUGAACGCUAGCUACAGGCUUAACACAUGCAAGUCGGAGGGGAAACGACAUCGAAAGCUUGUCUUUUGAUGGGCGUCGACCGGCGCACGGGUGAGUAACGCGUAUCCAACCUGCCCACCACUUGGGGAUAACCUUGCGAAAGUAAGACUAAUACCCAAUGACGUCUCUAGAAGACAUCUGAAAGAGAUUAAAGAUUUAUCGGUGACCUGGAUGGGGAUGCGUCUGAUUAGCUUGUUGGCGGGGUAACGGCCACAAAGCGACGAUCAGUAGGGGUUCUGAGAGGAAGGUCCCCCANAUUGGAACUGAGACACGGUCCAAACUCCUACGGGAGGCA